AGGGUUUUGCCAUUCUCUCUCUCUUGCUCUCUUGCUCCUGAAGAUGGUAAGCAAUAAAGCUUUUGCCGCAGAAGAUUCUGGUUUGUUGCGUCUUUCCUGGCCGGUCGUGACCGCGUGUAAGAGAAAGAAGAAAUGACUUUAAUGCAGCCAGAAAUCUCAAAGGAGUCAGCAGAUCCCAGCGCCGCCUCCCUGCUCACAAGCACAGCAAUUAAACCCAGGACCUGGUGUACACUAUUGAGCAAGCCACUGAGCUGUCCUGCCCCGCCUUAGACCCCCAUCUCAGCCUCCCAGAUGCUGAGGAUACAGGGUCUACAAGCUGUUGAGUUUGGCUUGGCUGCAGUUACCUCUGGGCCUCACUGAAGAAGGACAGGCUUCAAAGCUCACCUAGUUCUUGCUCUCUGCUCUGCUAAACACAAAAUAUGACCUCUCAUUCCUGAAAGAAAUGGAAUUUGUUUUAUGAAAAUCAUUUGCUAAUGCUUAAAUCUAUCACAUCUUGGACAUUUCUAAAGCAAACUGAGGAAAAGGUCAGUGUGAAUCCUCUUACGAAUCAAAGUCCAAGAUGUUUACAUCCUACAAAGGCCAAUCUUUGGAUACACUGCUGAGGAGUUCCUGUCUGUUAGAACAGUGCUUUCUAGUUCUGCUAGAGACUCUCCUUGUCCUUUGGGAAGGGUGAAGCUUGGGACCAGAACUUGCUAUGUUGCCCAGAAUGGGCAAUCGUGACCCUCCUGCUUUAGCUUGCUGAGGGCUGGGAUUACAGACAAAUGGCUGCACACAUGGUAGGUGGGUGACAUUGAUCAUGUGUUUAUGGCUUACCCAAAUUUACAAAGCUAAUAAGGCUUUCACUUUUUUUUUAACCAGAUAACUUUGCCAAUCACCAUUAAUACACUGUUAUACAACAUAUACAAAAUAAAUCUAUAAAUGUA